GGAAAAUGGAAAAAUUGUGUAAUUAAGUGAAUGGAUGAAACAACAACCUUACUGGAUAUCCUGGGAGAUGGUGGACGGACCGAUUAUAAUAGGAAACCCUACCGUGAACGUUGUCUCAUACCGGUCGGGGUAUCGAGACUUAGUAAUUUGGCGCUCAUACUAGACGGAGUAUGAAGACGACUUAUUUCACUUUCAUAGCGGACGAGGUAUUGAGAUUUAGUGGUUUAGUGCUAAUACCAGAUGGGUAUGGGGACAACCCUUUAAUUGAGAAUGUUGAAGGAAAGGGUUCACUCGUAGUGGAAACAUCCCUAUGAACCCCCAUGGAUACCAGUAGGCCGAUAAAAGGAAAUGUUAUUGUUUGAUUUAUUAAGUAUGAAUUUAUAAUGUGUGUUUGUUACCAACUG
rnacentral:lncRNA from 1 species